rnacentral:rRNA from 1 species
UACGUAGGUGGCAAGCGUUGUCCGGAUUUACUGGGCGUAAAGCGCACGUAGGCGGCUUAGCAAGUCGGAUGUGAAAUCCCUCGGCUCAACCAAGGAAGUGCAUCCGAAACUGCUGAGCUUGAGUACGAAAGAGGAUCGCGGAAUUCCCGGUGUAGAGGUGAAAUUCGUAGAUAUCAGGAGGAAUACCGAUGGCGAAGGCAGGUCUCUGGGCUGACACUGACGCUCAUGCACGAAAGCGUGGGGAGCAAACAGG